rnacentral:lncRNA from 1 species
GUCGAUUGACUUCCGCUAUCCGUCGUGCUGUGUGCCGGCAUUCUCUUAUGGCACAGACCACGCCGUAGUUUAACCUUAUUUGCUUCACGACACCAUCAUCAUCUGCCAGCUCCAUCACCCGUCAUUUCUGGUAUUUUUCCCCAACACCGAGCCUUUCUGAUCUCGCCGUUCGUCAAUGCAAUUUAUGUGUGCGGAUGAAAAAAGCGAAGCCAGUGUACAUAGCUCGUGGGUGUUCAGCUGAAGGCCGUCGUCGUUCAGGCAACUACCAAAUCGAAUUGUGAUGUGGUGAGCCGAUUUACUAUUUUUGCUAUUGAUUUUAUGAUCGUGAAAUAAGAUGCUUAGUUUGCAUAUGAAGCUUAAGUUAGAAAUACCAGUGUUGCGAGGUGUGCUUCGAGGAGUUUAGUUGUCGAAUAUAUUCGAACUAGUUCUAUUUUACAAAGUGUGGUAUUUCGGUGACGCGUAGGUUAAAUUUAGUAUUUUAUACAAUUAUCGAUAAAACUUUCGAUGCUAGUUGUGUUCAGUGCGCAUAAGAUAAAGUCGAUGUCCUGUGCUAGUAGUUAGUAUCAUCUAUGUUUGUGAUCGAUAAUGUUGGAGUAUGAUAUGAUCGACGAUUUUCUUAUCUAGUGAUUGGUGUGAUGUGGUUUAAUUUAUAAAGCGAGGGAUAAGUUUAGAAUUUAAUUAAUUAGCUGAUAAGUUGUGUUUAGGCUAAGUGUAUGUUUGCGUUAGGUUCGUUUAAUCUAGAGAAGCUUAAUUAUUGCGUUUAGUCAUACCUUGGUAACUGGUGUUUCCGUAUAAAAUUGUACAACGCCUCGCCGCUAGGUGUUUAAUUCGCUAUCGCGAGCACUAUUUAGGUUUGCGAUAUUCCUAUCUAUAUGCAUUCAUGUGCAUAAUGCAUUUCAUUCAGGUACGUGAAUUAACCACGUGAUGCGGAGAACCAGAACUGAGUCGACCACAAGAUGGUGCUGAUGGACGAACCUGAAGUUGGAUAAGCUGAACGAGUGCCAAGACAAAGGAUGGUCGCCAAGAGAACGUCGUCUAACAAACACUAACGUAGUGUUUAUUACAGGCAAGCCCCGGUGCAUGCAACCCCUUCCUUGUGUUUUUAAAUAAUUUUUACACACUUUAAGUCUAGCGAAAUGUGCAUUAGGUUUAUAGGAGUUGCUUGGAAACCCUUUGAUGCAUUGCCUACCUUGAUAUCCAUACCUUUAUAGAUACUUCUGAUGAAGUAUCAAAAUAUGAUUUACAAAAAUGCUUAUCCCUGCUUAGAUCUUGUGGAUAGAGGCUGUCCUUUGCGUUAAUGCCUAUCUCAGGGGUUAUCCUGAGGAAGGAUGGCUUCUGCCUGCAAGAAUAUUUUUAUUGGGAGCAAUGGUGAGAUCUUACUGCAAAGUUCCCUAUAAUGCUCUUUUCAUCCUAAGGAACACAAACAAUCCUAAGGAUGGAAGUACUUAAAUUGAGACUUGGGCUAGGAACAGGUGAUGUUCUACCCAGGUUGAUUAAGGAUUAUACUGAAUGUAGGCUUGAUGAUCGAGGACCUUUUAACUGGUCACAUGUCUCAUCAUGGGUAAGCUUUGCCUUGGGCAGACUAAUACCAGAAUAAGACAACACGCAAUGGGAGUGGAGAGAUGGCGAGAGUAGCGUGUACCCUCCGUGGCAAGAGGCUGGAUGGUGGUGUAUCUGUGCUCUCGGUUGGCAUGAACCUGAUCUAGUCUUAAGAACCCCGAUGGCGAGUUGACAUAUGCAAGGGUUAAGUGCUACAUAUGUUGUGUGAUUGGAGAUCCCCAGCUGGGUAUUAAUCGAUUCGGAUCGCCGUUACUUCUCGGACAUGAAGACUUGGUCACUGCCCUGCAAUCUAAAGUCAUGGAUGAAAUCAUAAUGAACAAAAAUCAUGAUGUAUUGAUUAAUGUGAUGAUGAAAUUAGACUAGAUGCAAACAAGGUCUAUUAAUACUUAAUCUAGCAUUAAAAUGUUGAAAGUAAGGACUCACUUUAGUAAGCUAUCUCUGCAAAAGUAUCUAAGUUGAUUCUUGCUAAAGCCUUUUCCUUGAUCCCUAUUUAACCAGCAUAUCCUUGAGAGUCUUUUCUUUAGUCGGGUAAGUCUUGCUGAGUACUUGCAUACUUAGGGUUUCCCAUUGUUGCUGCAGGUCACGAGUUAUCUUGAUUGUGAUUGGUGUUAAGCGCCGGUGGGCACGACCUUCUUAUAAGUCUAAGUACUUCUUCUAUACUUCUUAUUGAGGAUGGUCACUUAAGCUAGCAUAUAUUUCAAACUUAGAAAUAAUUUUAUAACAUUUCAAAGUUUAUUGCUUUGAAUCACUUUGUAACCACUCCGAUAAAUAUAAUGUAAAUUUGUUGAAACUUGUGACUUUUUGUAAUAAAGAAAUUCCGCUGCAAAA